CCUACGGGUGGCAGCAGUAGGGAAUUUUCGUCAAUGUGCGCAAGCCUGAACGAGCCAUGCCGCGUGAACGAGGAAGGUCUUCGGAUCGGAAAGUUCUGUUGAAGGGGAAAAAGAGCGGAGAGAGGAAAUGGUCUCCGAUUGAUAUUACCCUUCGAGGAAGUCACGGCUCACUACGUGCCAGCAGCCGCGGUAAUACGUAGGUGGCGAGCGUUAUCCGGAUUGAUUGGGCGUAAAGGGUGCGUAGGCGGCCUGCUAAGUCUGGGGUGAAAGGUACCGGCUCAACCGGUACAGGCUCUGGAAACUGGCAGGCUGUAGAGCAGGAGAGGGCGGUGGAAUUCCAGGUGUAGGAGUGAAAUCCGUAGAUAUCUGGAGGAACAUCAGUGGCGAAGGCGACUAUCUGGCACAUAACUGACGCUGAGGAGCGAAAGCGUGGGUAGCAAACAGGAUUAGAUACCCGAGUAGUC
rnacentral:rRNA from 1 species